rnacentral:lncRNA from 13 species
AUUACGGGCAAGAACCAGGAUGAAUGUGUAAUUGCUUUGCACAACUGCAAAGGAGAUGUCAACAGAGCCAUCAAUGUUCUUCUGGAAGGAAACCCAGACACGCAUUCCUGGGAGAUGGUCGGGAAGAAGAAGGGAGUCUCAGGCCAGAAGGACGGCAGCCAGAUGGAAUACAAUGAGGAAGGCAAAGAAAAUCGAGACCGGAACAGAGACUAUAGUCAGCUACGUGGUGGGCCACCAAGAUGGGGGAGAGGUGCCAGCCAUGGAUGAGAGUGUAUGCAUGGGGCGUUAUCAAAACCAGCUGUGGUUUGAGGUCAGGAAAAUGGAUUGGAUGGCACCAACAGUGGAGGGCCUUCUGGAAGAGGAACGGAAACAGGAAGAAGGGGCCGUGGCCAAGGCAGAGGUGGCUCUGGUAGGCGAGGAGAAAGUUUUUCUGCUCAAGGAAUGGGAACUUUUAACCCAGCUGAUUAUGCAGAGCCAGCCAAUACUCAUGAUAACUAUGGCAAUAGUAGCAGCAAUACAUAGAACAACACUGGCCACUUUGAACCAGAUGAUGAGACGAGUGCAUGGAGGACUGCAACAGAGGAAUGGGGGACUGAAGAUUGGAAUGAAGAUCUUUCUGAGACCAAGAUCUUCACUGCCUCUAAUGUGUCUUCAGUGCCUCUGCCUGUGGAGAAUGUGACAAUCACUGCUGGUCAGAGAAUUGACCUUGCUGUUCUUCUCGGGAAGACACCAUCUACAAUGGAGAAUGAUUCAUCUAAUCUGGAUCCAUCUCAGGCUCCUUCUCUGGCCCAGCCUCUGGUGUUCAGCAACUCAAAGCAGACUCCACAACACAGCCGGCUUCAGGGAACACAUUUUCUCAUCACAGUAUGGUGAGCCUGCUGGGGAAAGGAUUUGGUGAUGGUGAAUGAAGCUAAAGGCGGCAGUACUACGGGCUCCCAGUUCUUGGAGCAAUUCAAGACUGCUCAAGCCCUGGCUCAGUUGGCAGUUCAGCAUUCUUAGACUGGAAGCACCACCACCUCCUCUUGGGACAUGGGC